rnacentral:rRNA from 1 species
UAAUACGGAGGGUGCGAGCGUUGUUCGGAAUUAUUGGGCGUAAAGCGCACGUAGGCGGCCGAGUAAGUCUCACUGUGAAAGCCCGGGGCUCAACCCCGGGAGGCCAGGGGAUACUGCACGGCUGGAGACAAGUAGAGGCUGGUAGAAUUCCGGGUGUAGCGGUGGAAUGCGUAGAGAUCCGGAGGAAUACCUGAGGCGAAGGCGGCCAGCUGGGCUUGAUCUGACGCUGAGGUGCGAAAGCGUGGGGAGCGAACAGGAUUAGAUACCCUGGUAGUCCACGCCGUAAACGAUGGGCACUAGAUGCCGGUGGGAACGACCCCUUCGGUGUCGCAGCUAACGCAAUAAGUGCCCCGCCUGGGGAGUACGGCCGCAAGGCUG